rnacentral:rRNA from 1 species
GAUGAACGCUGGCGGCGUGCUUAACACAUGCAAGUCGAACGGAAAGGCUCCUGCUUGCCGGGGUACUCGAGUGGCGAACGGGUGAGUAACACGUGGGGGAUCUGCCCUUCACUUCGGGAUAAGCCUGGGAAACUGGGUCUAAUACCGGAUAGGACGAUGGUUUGGAUGCCAUUGUGGAAAGUUUUUCGGUGUGGGAUGAGCUCGCGGCCUAUCAGCUUGUUGGUGGGGUAAUGGCCUACCAAGGCGUCGACGGGUAGCCGGCCUGAGAGGGUGUACGGCCACAUUGGGACUGAGAUACGGCCCAGAAUCCUACGGGAGGCAGCAGUGGGGAAUAUUGCACAAUGGGCGCAAGCCUGAUGCAGCGACGCCGCGUGGGGGAUGACGGCCUUCGGGUUGUAAACUCCUUUCGCUAGGGACGAAGCGCAAGUGACGGUACCUGGAGAAGAAGCACCGGCUAACUACGUG